AAUAACAGAACUAAUUUCGUUUCCCUCUCCAGUUGUAUCGCUGCAUCGUUUCCCUCCCAAUUAGAAAACAAUUGAACUAAUUUCGUUUCCCUCCCCAGUUGAAUCGCUGCCAAAAAAAAGAAACUAUCUAGCUGCUGCGUCAAAAAAACCUAACACGCUGCUGCGUCAAAAAAACCUAACACGCUGCUGCGUCAACUCCACCGCGUCAACGGUAGUGCGAUUUACAGUGUGUAAACAGCAGUGGCCAUCUUCUUCCUAGAGACGUACCCUAGCAAAUAGAAGCAAUAGGGCCAAGCAAACUAUGCCUCACACAGGAGGAUCAAAAAGUAUUGCCACCUUGAUGAAUGAGCAGGUAAACCUGUGAAUACUACAAACUAUAAUAUUUUAACCUUUUUUUGUCAUGAAAACAUAUACGAUAUCAUUUUUAUUGUAUUAGGCUGUAAACGGGAUAGAGCCUACACGAGCAGAAAUUUUCCUAUUAACUCAUAAAAAACGUAAGGAUGGUAGGCCACUAGAUGAUGAUUCUGUAAAGAUAAUCGUAAGAUUUAUUCUUUCUUUAUUUUUUGGUUUCAUGACUCUGUCAAACAAUGUGCAUUUUUUCCUAUUUAUGAAUUCCAAAGUGGAUUUAUUGUGUAUUCUAUGGUCAGGAAAUGAUAAAUGAAAAGAUGAGCAAUAGUGAGAGAUCUACUAAGCAACCUCCUCGUAGUGUUGCUUGGAAAGGCGAUGUGUAUUCCCAGGUGUUGGGAAAUGAAAAAAAUGGGUAUGUUCGUGGUUUAGGGCUUGGUCCAACUCCUUCUGUUCUAUGGGGUAGUAGGUCUUCCUUAGGAAAUAUUGUUGCAGAUGAUUCUUCUAAUGAGGUUAUACAAAGGUUAGAACAACACAUAAUCGAGUUAAAGGAGAAACAAAAUAAUAAAAUGAAUAUUAUGAAACAAAAUCAGGAGAAUAUGCAAUCAGAAUUACUCCAAAUGAGAUAAUUAAUGCGCAAAUAUGCUCCUAAUGCAUCUAUGCCUCAAAGCAGCAAUGGCACCUUGGGUGAAGAGGUAACUCCAUUUAAUAAACUUUAGAUAUUUUAAUUGAAAUUCUAAUCAUAUAAAAGUAUUGUUAAUUAAUAUGCUAAUAUUUAUUAGAUCCCCGACGCCAAUAGUGGAUAUGAACGAGUACCACAAAUAUCAAGAAUGCCUAGUGUUGCUGAAAAUGCUCAACCUUCUCAUGGUACUGCUCAUCUUUGUCCUUCGUCGCUACUGUUUGAGUUUUCCUCCUUCGAUUUUUAUUAAUUUGUUGUUGUAUUUGGACUUUCCUUGGAUGCUUCUUGCUUUAGAUAAUUUUCACUGAUGUUGAUGUCGCAAAGGUUGUGAGUAACAGCUGCAAUCAAAUCUGUUCUACUGGUUGAUUUAUGAUUCGUGAAAUCUGGAACAUUUUGUUUGGUUGUGCAACUUGUAUGUCUCUGGAACAUUGAUGUUCAAAUAAUAGCUGAAGCUUGACCAGGUUCUUCGUUAUGUUAAGAUUUUAAUUCUUCGUUAUGCACGAUCAAAAGAAUGUAGUUGUUUCUGCUUAUAGAUGUUAGCGUAUUUGUUGUAGAUACAAAGGGCAGAGCUUGCUUAAGACGAUUCUGUUUCUAGACCAAAGUAAUCCUUGAGUAUUUGCUUCGAAGUUCUUCCAAAUCCAUUUUGCACUUGUUUCAUGUCCUUCAGUUUCGAAAUAUGAGACAUCAUAUCAGUGAUGGUAGAAGAAAAAUAUCACAGUAAUGGUUGAAGGAUAGGUUUAUAGAGAAAACAUCACAUCAAAAUUCAAAUUUUGAUUGGAUGCGUGAAUUUCUUAAUUCUUGAAAGUUACGACAGAUUUUUAGAAGAGGAACUGUGACAAAUAUUCUGGAACAUUUCAAAUUGAGAAGAGUAUCAGAUAAAUUGGAACGGAGUAACACUAACAUCUUUAGUCCUAAGUUUCACUUUGAAAAAUCACUUUAAGACCAAAGAAGGAAGAGGAUGAGGUGAAAUGUAAUAAGUUUGUUACCUUUUACGUGUAAAAAACUGUUCCAACCUUAGCUUGUGAGUAGCGACACUAUUUUCUUGACCCGUUUGAUUUAGCAAUUGAUCACCUAUUGCAUUUUGGAAGCCCAAAAUUACAACUGGACAUUGUUCCUAGUAAAUUUCUUUUGCAUUGAAGAUGCUGGGACUGGAAUGUUGAAUAAUUAUUGUAAUAGCAGUUAUAUCUCUUGAUCAUUGAUUGCUACAGACCAACUUCCUAUGCAGUUGCACAAGUGCAAAUACAUGGCUCUAUGCCAUCAUGUCUCAUAUUCCAGCAUGUCAGAAUAAUGUAAGUUAUCAACAGGUUUUAACCUACCUUAGAUAGAUAAAGAGCCUGGAGUUUCCUUCUUGACACUAGCACUACUAGAUACUUAAGAUUUGUGUUAUUCAUUUACAAAUGCUUAACUUGGUGCUUAACUUUACAAAUGCUUAAGUUAGCUCUGUUGUCUUUAUCUCUUUUCCUCGUGCUUGAAAUUUUUUUAACAGUAGCUCCUUGUGCCUAUUGAAAACAUAGUAUUAGGUUGUAUAGCUGAAUUCACAGCCUUGUACAACCUCGAGAGUGCUGUAGUAGUAGGUACAUCACCCUUAGCUGCUGGUUUUACUGAUUUAAAAAGAUCUGCACCUUCCUUAUGUUGUUGCAGAUUUCCAACAUGCUCCUUAACAACCUCUGUUUCCCCCAAAUUUUGAGUAACAGCUGUAGCAGCCAAAUUUUGAGUAACAGCUGCAAUCAAAUCUGUUCUAUUUGUUGAUUUAUGAUUCGUGAAAUCUGGAACAUUUUGUUUGGUUGUGUAACUUGUAUCUCUCUGGAACAUUGAUGUUCAAAUAAUAGCUGAAGCUUGACCAGGUUCUUCGUUAUGUUAAGAUUAUGAUUCUUCAUUAUGCACGAUCAAAAGAAUGCAGUUGUUUCUGCUUAUAGAUGUUAGCGUAUUUGUUGUAGAUACAAAGGGCAGAGCUUGCUUAAGACGAUUUUGUUUCUAGACCAAAGUAAUCCUUGAGUAUUUGCUUCGAAGUUCUUCCAAAUCCAUUUUGCACUUGUUUCAUGUCCUUCAGUUUCGAAAUUUCUCACUUUAUUUGGUCUACUCUUUUCAGGACAACAUCAAGUAAGGUAUCUGUUUCAACCAUUGAUGUAGGACUUGAUAGAUCUGAUCUUUUCUUGUCAAGCUGUUCGUAUAGAUUCAUGAUAUAGUUCUUUUGAGCAAAAAGCUUUUCCUCAGCAAGUCUGUACUCAAAUUCUUGAGACUUCCUCAAUGCCUGCAGUGUUUGACUGACAAAGUCAUACAGUUUGAUGUUCGAUAAUUUAGCAGUUGGAAGAUUUCAAAAUGAUGAGAAGUUGCGAAAAUCAUUUGAAGACCAUCAUUCUGGAUUAUUACUAUGAUGACAUUAGCUAUUUAGUCCAAACAAUAUAUUUUUAUGUUUUAAGUUACGAUGAUAUUAAUAUUUUUAAUUAGUACUUCCUUUUGUUUGUUAAGAUUUAAUGAGAUAUAUUACAUUUUUUUGAAUUAAUAUUAAUAUAUUUUAUUAUUUGGGUCA